rnacentral:rRNA from 1 species
GGCGAAGCAGAGAAGCCGGCCUCAGGAGGAGGAGGUCUGAAGGCCUCUGGAGUGCGCUACGCGGGGCGCCGGAGCUUCCGCCGGCCCUUCCUCUUCUCGUCCUCCUUCCCGCCGCCGCGGCCGCGGCCUCUCGUAGAGGAGUGGCUGGCGCAGGAGAGGGAGGCGCGGGCGGACGUGCUGCGGGAGAGGGAGCCGGAGCGGUCCAGACUACCGGUGCCACGCUUUUUUACCGUCAGAUGACUACGACCUUAAGUCAGAGUGCGCUAGUUUCGUCACUGACGAAAAGAGCCAACAAACAGUUGACUUUACAACGCCGAAGGAGGAUAUUUCCUCAGCUAAAGCCUGUAAGAGCAUGAGGACCUUCCACAAGAAGUCUGUUUCUUGCAAAGUCAAGAUUAGGUUCGUCGUCUACACUCGAGUUUCAAUCAAAGGUCGUAUCCGUUAAGCUAAGCCGUUAUGGGUUAAAACCUCUAACAAAGCGGGGAGAGUACGGUCAACAGCCGUGUGGUCAAUGGAUGUCGAUAGAGCACACGUUCCCGUUACUUAAUGUAUAACUUAUCGGAUCACUGCCGCUCUCCAAGUCGAGUACGUCUUUAAAACCUUUGGAACCUCUCUUGGUUACGUCAACGUUCAUAACAAAGACGAGACGUCUCAAUGUGAGGACUAUAGGUAGGUGACUCAAUAGACUGGCUCUACUAUAGUGACGAUUCUUGGUAUGACACCUAAACCGGAAGGAGUUCUAUGGUACAUACCUCAUUACCGUUGGACUACCCCUUCAAUCGCGUAAUGACAGAACGGUGACUUUGUUACCAACAACGAUUUCAAGAAUCCGACAUACGACGAAAUCCAUGAAGACAAACCAUUAAGAGGAGAAACUGAAGUCAUAAUUAUAAACUUUAUAAAAAAAGGUGAAAUGAAGGAAAACACAAAGAUUUGUAAACAUCGACGUUGAGUCGAAAUACACCGGUACCUCGAUACUAGGAAGAGUUCUUACUUCAGAAUUACCGAUUCUAAACACUCGAGCACCCUUACAGGGUAGGCUCAUCAUGAUCCUAACUUCGCAAGUUUGAGACGGUACAAGAAAACUCUAGAAGCUUCCCGACAUCAGUCAAUUACUGAAGUGCAACGGUCGGAUAACAACUUCCGUAUUAGCUACGUUACGCACGUUUCCUACUAUUUAACAAUCAUUGUCUCCCCACAGCAUGACGUGACGAACACGAGGCAAUACGACCCUUAGUAGUAGUUACGAAAACCAGAUUACGGUAACUAUUUCAUAAUAUAUCGUAAGAAUGGCCAGCGAGGGAGAGGAGUGUAGUUUCACUAUUUCAAAACACGCUACUACUCGAUAAACUAUACCAAAGGUUUUUGAAGUACCUAUAUGUAGGUAUGCAGACCCUAUAUGAACCUAUAGAUCACCACGUAACGUGACUCCUAGUGGUAGGACAUUCCUUUCCCUUUCCAGUAUCGAACGUGCGUGACUAUAGAACACGAACCAUCCAUGAUCGAACGACCGGUGUCUACAAUACGUGUUUUCGUCGGGGUACUGUAAUAGGUUUCUACACGUCCUCGGCCGAAACUCCCGUCAAGACUACUACGAAGAGAGAGGGUUACCUAUAUAAGUCAUACUCCGUUCAAAAUUUGAAAGUCUUCCAGAAGGUAUAAACCCACUGCCGAUAAACUUGCAAGAUAACAGUAGUAAUCUUAGUUUAUGAUGCUCUUCACAACGGUGUAGAAAACUGUCAAAGUUUUAAUACUGGUUGGAGUACUUGGAGCGUACAAACCACGACAGUGCUGGAAUGGUAUUAGAGGAAUUAUUCUCCUUAGGAUAACUACACAACAGGUAGUAAUAGUUCCUUACAGAGGUGUUAUUAUAUGUAUAAUGCUCCAGUUUUCAGUGAAGGGUAGACGUGAAGACAAAACUUCCUUCAAGUACGACAACGAUAGAGCCACUUCUCACCCUCCCACUUUUGUAUCAGAAUAAGAUGCCAGAACAACCCGACAAAUUAGAAGACUCCUCGUGAUGAAAUCAAACACAAGUCACAUUCUCCUUCAACCUACAACCCUAAGACACGGUACUGACGUCUCUAGUCAUAUGGCUUCUAAAAGAAUAUCAAGAAGUUGCACGAGAUUCAGUUUCGAACUCAAGACCUGGCUUCGAGAUAUAACGUGUGUAGGACUCAAACAAACCGGAGACGCCAAGAGGUUCGUUCAACCCGCCCUUCUACUCAUCACGUAAUCUAUUAUUGCUAGAUCGACUAGACCUUGAAAACGAAAGUCUACCACUUAGAUAUUUACGAGUGUGUCGGUAGUAUAGUCGUUCCACAGGAUUCGACAACGGUAGACAUUUUAUAGAUGAACCGUCACUGCUUUUUCAAUUUCUACUUACCCCUUUUAGUCACAUGGCUCAAGUUUACAGACUAGCACAUCUAUCGGUGCGGAACUUCUUCUAAAACCUCAUGUGUAUAUGACCAAAACACUACCAUCCACUACUGUAACAAUUUGGUCAUUCCUGUGAACGCUUCAUAACAUUGGACUUUAGUAACCGUCUUUACGAAGUCUUUCUCGUUGGGUCUACCUUGAGGCUAAUAUGGUCUAUACUAGAAUGACAACGUGAACCUGGACAACUCGUAAGUAAGAGCCUGUAUUAAAACCUCCGAGUUAGUUUACUCCUUUACUUCACACUGGUGCCCAGCACGGUUAACGGUUGAGGCGUGCAAGUAUCGGUAUUUUAGCACGACUGGUACUCGACGCUAAUGGAGGCCCGUAAUAAAGCUAGGCCCUACGUACUCUCGAAGAGCCUGCAGUAGUCCCAAGGCGAGCCCACCGUUCGCGACCUGUUCGAUCAGAUGACCAAGAUGAGUCCGCUCGACGGGUUUCGGCGGGAGCUGACGGCCACCUUGUUGGACUCGUCGCUGCUCGUCGCGAGGGUGGACUUGCGGAUGCGCCUCGACAGCAGCGACCGGCUCAAGACCAAGGACCUCCCCCACUUCCUCCUCUCGGAACGCCGCCAGAGCAGGGAGGACCUUAGCUCGUCCUCGCGGCGGCGCCAGCUCAAGCAGCGGAAGCGCCGGUUGGACCCGGUCACCCUCUACCAGCUCCGGCCGCAGGCGUCGCACCGCGUGGACAUGGGGGCCGACGCCCUGAGCCCGGCCGACCUCGUCGAGCUGCUGCUCGACGAGUUGUACGACGCCUGGCUCAUGCAGGCCAUGAGCGUCGUGCCUCCGCCCGUCUCCACUGAACUCAUGCACUUAGACCUGCGUGCAGCGGCACGCGAAACAUCUAUCUAUGUCCCUGCCUGCGACAGACGGUACGAAAGAAGUGUCUCUUAUACGUCACAUCAGACCCAAUCGUCUCGACAAAAAAAAACCGCCCUACCCAAUCGUCUCGUCUCGACAAUGAGCACGGACGAACCACGUGUACCACGGCUGGGCUGGCUGGACGACUCACGACUGUCUGCGUGCGUCGUGGCUAGGUAGCGGUGUGUGUAGUGU